rnacentral:rRNA from 1 species
AAGGCUCGUAGUCGGAAUUCAGCGUGUCCUCGAUGGUCCGCCUCUGGUGUGCACUGUCGAUGGAUAUGCUCUCUGUCGGGGACGGGUUCCUGGGCUUAACUGUCUGGGACUCGGGCUCGACGUGGUUACUUUGAGUAAAUUAGAGUGUUCAAAGCAGGCGAUCGCCCUGAAUACAUUAGCAUGGAAUAGCAUGAUAGGACUCUGGCCUAUCUUGCUGGUCUGUAGGACCGGAGUAAUGAUUAAGAGGGACAGUCGGGGGCAUUCGUAUUUCGUAGUCAGAGGUGAAAUUCUUGGAUUUACGAAAGACGAACAUCUGCGAAAGCAUUUGCCAAGGAUGUUUUCAUUGAUCAAGAACGAAAGUUGGGGGCUCGAAGACGAUUAGAUACCGUCGUAGUCUCAACCAUAAACGAUGCCGACCAGGGAUUGGCGAGCGUUCUUUUGAUGACCUCGCCAGCACCUUGAGAGAAAUCAGAGUCUUUGGGUUCCGGGGGGAGUAUGGUCGCAAGGCUGAAACUUAAAGGAAUUGACGGAAGGGCACCACCAGGCGUGGAGCCUGCGGCUUAAUUUGACUCAACACGGGAAAUCUUACCAGGUCCAGACACGGGAAUGAUGAACAGAUUGAGAGCUCUUUUUUGAUUCUGUGGGUGGUGGUGCAUGGCCGUUCUUAGUUGGUGGGUUGCCUUGUCAGGUUGAUUCCGGUAACGAACGAGACCUCAGCCUACUAAAUAAUCGGUGGUCCUCCUUGGAUCAUCUCGGUUUCUUAGAGGGACUAUCGACGUUUAGUCAAUGGAAGUGUGAGCAAUAACAGGUCUGUGAUGCCCUUAGAUGUCCUGGGCCGCACGCGCGCUACACUGAUGCAUUCAACGAGCCUAUCCUUGGNGAGAGGCCCGGGUAAUCUGNAACUGCAUCGUGAUGGG